GACGAACGCUGGCGGCGUGCUUAACACAUGCAAGUCGAACGAUGAAGCACCAGCUUGCUGGUGUGGAUUAGUGGCGAACGGGUGAGUAACACGUGAGUAACCUGCCCCUCACUCUGGGAUAAGCCUGGGAAACUGGGUCUAAUACUGGAUACGACCGAUCUCCGCAUGGAGGGUUGGUGGAAAGUUUUUGUGGUGGGGGAUGGACUCGCGGCCUAUCAGCUUGUUGGUGGGGUAGUGGCCUACCAAGGCGACGACGGGUAGCCGGCCUGAGAGGGCGACCGGCCACACUGGGACUGAGACACGGCCCAGACUCCUACGGGAGGCAGCAGUGGGGAAUAUUGCACAAUGGGCGAAAGCCUGAUGCAGCGACGCCGCGUGAGGGAUGACGGCCUUCGGGUUGUAAACCUCUUUCACCAGGGACGAAGCUAACGUGACGGUACCUGGAGAAGAAGCACCGGCUAACUACGUG
rnacentral:rRNA from 1 species